AAAAAAUAAAAAUAAAAAAAAAAAAACUUGUGUACAUGUAAGUAUGUGCUAUCACUGGUGCUGGUGAUAACCCCCCAAAAACAUGCAGAAGAAAGAUGCAUAACCCCCCAAAAACAUGCAGAAGAAAGAUGCAUCUACAAAUGCUUUGAUUUUGAAGAUGAUAGUACUGUUCUUGGCAAUAUUUCCUACAGGGCAAACAAAAGUGUGCAAAAAAAUUGUCCCUUAAAAUUCUCUUUUUAUUACAAACUGAAAUCUUUACAUAAGAACUUCUGCAAAGUUCCAGACAAAACCGAAGAGUUGUAGUUUUCUCAAAGUUUGACAAUCCCAAGUCAACGAUUUAACUUGCAGUUUUGUCAAAUUUGAGAAUUCUUGGUUCUUAAUCUGUGCAUGUAAGUGGAUUAUUUUUAGUUCUGUCGUACAUGUUUUAGUGUUUGUGUUUGUUCAUCUUGUAUUGUUUGUUUGCUUUAGGCAAGUUUUUUUUCUUCUUUUUUUUCUGGAGUGUUGUGUGGGGUUUUGCUUGUACGUAGGUAAAUUGCUUUUAUUCUUCCUCUGUUCGAGGAAUGUUAUCAUGUGCCUGCGGUUUGUCAAGAUGUUUCCCCAUUCCAGGAACCUAUUAUCUAUUAUUCCUAAAAUCCUGGGUGUCCAAAUUGUUCACUUGAAUUACAUUUACAGGGAGUCCAAAUUUAAAACAGAUAGCCCAAAAGACACACAGACACCCCUCUGGCUAUCACUUUGCACAAAGAGGAAAUUUAAAAUUCAAGUUGAAUUUUUUCAUACGAUCUUGUCCCUGCCUUUAAAAAAAAUCUUCAACCGCCAACAAAUUAUCAUCAACUGUGUUUAGGAUAUCCAAUACUAGAAUCAAUAUGUUUUUUUCUAGGCUCUUUUCAAGGUUUUACCGAGCGCCUCGCGAAAUUACGACACCUGUUCUUUUGGGCCUUGUUCUUUCCUGAAACCGACUCAACUCCUGGGGAGUAUGCAGCACCGGCAGCCAAUUAGUGCACAUGUUGAUAAUGAUUCACAUCAACACAUCUACACCCUCGCAGCCUUUCAGUGGACUCUUCCGGUGUGAAUAAUCUGCCAAAAUGAAAUAAGUAAGUAUAAGGCGAAGGAGUGGACUACAAAGACUCGUAGGUUUAUUUGUUUUUACAAAUACUGGAUGAAACGAAGCAUCAGUCUUGAAAGACAGGUCUUUUUAUUUUGAACAAAACCUCUUGCUGCUUUGGCUAAUUACUCUGGGAAUUUACUGUUUCUGACAAUACAAAAAUUCACUGUAUGACUUGUUCUUACUUUACUUGACUUGUGAAUAAACUACAUGUACAUGUAUAUACACAUACAAAAUGUUAAUAUUGGACAUCUUUGUUUUCAUCAAGUUACAGUACGUACAUAAAUGGACCAAAAACAAUACAUGUACAAUGGAAAGCUUAAAAGUCAAAUGGCUGGAUAAAUGCCUAAAAAACAUGAUUUGUCAAGUGUUUUUUAAAGAGUUAUGGUGCAAUAAAAGAAGACAACAGAAA